AACGAACGCUGGCGGCAUGCCUAACACAUGCAAGUCGAACGAAGGCUUCGGCCUUAGUGGCGCACGGGUGCGUAACGCGUGGGAAUCUGCCCUCUGGUACGGAAUAACUCAGGGAAACUUGAGCUAAUACCGUAUAAUGACUUCGGUCCAAAGAUUUAUCGCCUGAGGAUGAGCCCGCGUCGGAUUAGCUAGUUGGUGAGGUAAAGGCUCACCAAGGCGACGAUCCGUAGCUGGUCUGAGAGGAUGAUCAGCCACACUGGGACUGAGACACGGCCCAGACUCCUACGGGAGGCAGCAGUGGGGAAUAUUGGACGAUGGGCGAAAGCCUGAUCCAGCAAUGCCGCGUGAGUGAUGAAGGCCUUAGGGUUGUAAAGCUCUUUUACCCGGGAUGAUAAUGACAGUACCGGGAGAAUAAGCCCCGGCUAACUCCGUGCCAGCAGCCGCAGUAACAC
rnacentral:rRNA from 1 species